CGCGUAGGCGGUUUGUUAAGUCAGCUGUGAAAGCCCUGGGCUCAACCUGGGAACUGCAGUUGAUACUGGCCGACUAGAGUACGAGAGAGGGAGGUAGAAUUCCACGUGUAGCGGUGAAAUGCGUAGAUAUGUGGAGGAAUACCGGUGGCGAAGGCGGCCUCCUGGCUCGAUACUGACGCUGAGGUGCGAAAGCGUGGGGAGCAAACA
rnacentral:rRNA from 1 species